rnacentral:rRNA from 1 species
AACGAACGCUGGCGGCAGGCCUAACACAUGCAAGUCGAACGCCCUAGCAAUAGGGAGUGGCAGACGGGUGAGUAACGCGUGGGCACGUACCCUUCGGUUCGGAAUAAGCCGGGGAAACCUGGUCUAAUACCGGAUACGUGCGAGAGCAGAAAGAUUUAUCGCCCUUAGACGGGCCCGCGUCGGAUUAGCUAGUUGGGGGGGUAACGGCCUACCAAGGCGACGAUCCGUAGCUGAUCUUAGAGGAUGAUCAGCCACACUGGGACUGAGACACGGCCCAGACUCCUACGGGAGGCAGCAGUGGGGAAUCUUGGACAAUGGGCGCAAGCCUGAUCCAGCCAUGCCGCGUGAGUGAAGAAGGUCUUCGGAUUGUAAAGCUCUUUUGCCAGGGACGAUAAUGACGGUACCUGGAGAAUAAGCCCCGGCAAACUUCGUGCCAGCAGCCGCCGUAACAC